rnacentral:rRNA from 1 species
UACGGAGGUGGCAAGCGUUGCUCGGAAUCACUGGGCGUAAAGAGCGCGCAGGCGGUCGUGCAAGUCGCGUGUGAAAGCCCCCGGCUCAACUGGGGAGGGUCACGCGAUACUGAUCGACUCGAAGGCAGGAGAGGGUAGUGGAAUUCCCGGUGUAGUGGUGAAAUGCGUAGAUAUCUGGAGGAACACCGGUGGCGAAGGCGGCAUCCUGGACCGGCAUUGACGCUGAGGCGCGAAAGCCAGGGGAGCAAACGGG